rnacentral:lncRNA from 1 species
AGGCUUUUUGCAGUAAACACUGUAUUUUCAGAGAAAAUAACUCCACUGGCCGCUCCUUAGAUGGCUGCUAGAGGUGCUUCCUGGGGCAGUACUGCCUAGUGUGUAGCACUGCCAUUCAGUGUCUCCACCCUUUGCAUGCAGACACUGAACUUUCCUCAUAGAGAUGCAUUGAUUCAAUUUAUCUUUAUGAGGAGAUGCUGAUUGGCCAGGGCUAUGAUGGACUUGUGCUGGCUCUGCCCCUGAUCUGCCUAGUUGACAGUCUCAGCCAA